rnacentral:rRNA from 2 species
CCUACGGGAGGCAGCAGUGGGGAAUUUUCCGCAAUGGGCGAAAGCCUGACGGAGCAACGCCGCGUGAGGGAUGAAGGCCUCUGGGCUGUAAACCUCUUUUAUCAAGGAAGAAGAUCUGACGGUACUUGAUGAAUAAGCCACGGCUAAUUCCGUGCCAGCAGCCGCGGUAAUACGGGAGUGGCAAGCGUUAUCCGGAAUUAUUGGGCGUAAAGCGUCCGCAGGCGGUCUGUCAAGUCUGCUGUUAAAGCGUGGAGCUUAACUCCAUUUCGGCAGUGGAAACUGACAGACUAGAGUGUGGUAGGGGCAGAGGGAAUUCCCGGUGUAGCGGUGAAAUGCGUAGAUAUCGGGAAGAACACCAGUGGCGAAGGCGCUCUGCUGGGCCAUAACUGACGCUCAUGGACGAAAGCCAGGGGAGCGAAAGGGAUUAGAUACCCCUGUAGUCCUGGCCGUAAACGAUGAACACUAGGUGUCGGGGGAAUCGACCCCCUCGGUGUCGUAGCCAACGCGUUAAGUGUUCCGCCUGGGGAGUACGCACGCAAGUGUGAAACUCAAAGGAAUUGACGG